AGCUUUAACAUGCAGUCGAACGGCAGCGCGAGAGAGCUUGCUCUCUUGGCGGCGAGUGGCGGACGGGUGAGUAAUAUAUCGGAACGUGCCCAGUAGCGGGGGAUAACUACUCGAAAGAGUGGCUAAUACCGCAUACGCCCUACGGGGGAAAGGGGGGGAUCGCAAGACCUCUCACUAUUGGAGCGGCCGAUAUCGGAUUAGCUAGUUGGUGGGGUAAAGGCUCACCAAGGCAACGAUCCGUAGCUGGUUUGAGAGGACGACCAGCCACACUGGGACUGAGACACGGCCCAGACUCCUACGGGAGGCAGCAGUGGGGAAUUUUGGACAAUGGGGGAAACCCUGAUCCAGCCAUCCCGCGUGUAUGAUGAAGGCCUUCGGGUUGUAAAGUACUUUUGGCAGAGAAAAAAAGGUAUCCCCUAAUACGGGAUACUGCUGACGGUAUCUGCAGAAUAAGCACCGGCUAACUACGUGCCAGCAGCCGCGGUAAUACGUAGGGUGCAAGCGUUAAUCGGAAUUACUGGGCGU
rnacentral:rRNA from 1 species